CCUCUGAUUAGCGCACAAUCAAAUAAUGUUGGCUUAAAUGAUAUAGAGUAGGACUUGUGUGUUAUUAAAAGUACAGAGGUCUAUGUGCUUCUAAACUGUUUUCAAUAAUAAAACUUUCAAAUCGACAAUCGACUCUGUUAAACUUGAUUUAGCAUAUUUGAAAUAUUUAAAAAAUAAAUUUUAUGGUCAUUUACCUAGUAAUCGGAAGGACUCGAAGUCAACAGUUGAAAUUACAAAUUCCACAAAAGUUAUGAUAUAGCAUUAAAAUUUUCGACUAGAGAUAUUAAUUUAGCCGUAGAUAGUAUAAAAAAUUUUCUAUUAAAAUUUCAUCUGAUUUGAAUACUUAUAUACCAUUAAACUUGAAAAUGAAAAACGUCAACCAAUAUUAGAUAUUGUUGAUUUUGAAAUCUUUCAAUUAUUAGGUAAAUAAUAUCGAAAAACAGCAAAAUUUAUUUUUUAGAUAUUUCAAAUACAUUAGAUUAAGUCUAACGAAGCUGAUCGUUUAUUCGAAAAUUUAAUUAUCGAAAAUGGCUUAGGAGCACGAGGGGUCCGUGCUUCUGAUAGCAUGCAAGUUCUACUCAAUGAGAUAUAUAUUUCUAAAUC
rnacentral:lncRNA from 1 species